rnacentral:rRNA from 1 species
GGUACCGUCAGACCCGCAGGGUAUUAACCUGCGAGUGGUUCUUCCCACCUGGCAGAGCUUUACGACCCGAAGGCCUUCAUCGCUCACGCGGCGUCGCUGCGUCAGGGUUUCCCCCAUUGCGCAAUAUUCCCCA